rnacentral:rRNA from 1 species
GGACUACUGGGGUAUCUAAUCCUGUUUGCUCCCCACGCUUUCGAGCCUCAGCGUCAGUCAUGGACCAGUAAGUCGCCUUCGCCACUGGUGUUCUUCCGAAUAUCUACGAAUUUCACCUCUACACUCGGAGUUCCACUUACCUCUUCCACACUCUAGGUUAUCAGUUUUGAAGGCAAUUCCAAGGUUGAGCCCUGGGCUUUCACCUCCAACUUGAUAACCCGCCUACGCUCCCUUUACGCCCAGUAAUUCCGAGCAACGCUAGCCCCCUUCGUAUUACCGCGGCUGCUGGCAC